rnacentral:rRNA from 1 species
CCUACGGGAGGCAGCAGUGGGGAAUAUUGGGCAAUGGGCGCAAGCCUGACCCAGCAAUGCCGCGUGAAGGAAGACGGCUUUCGGGUUGUAAACUUCUUUUAUGAGAAACGAAAGAAAUGACGGUACCAAAUGAAUAAGCCACGGCUAACUACGUGCCAGCAGCCGCGGUAAUCCGGAGGUGGCAAGCGUUAUCCGGAUUUACUGGGUGUAAAGGUCGUGUUGGCGGGUCUGCAAGUCAGAUGUGAAAAGUAGGGGCUCAACCCAUAACCUGCAUUUGAUACUGUAGUUCUUGAGUGAUGGAGAGGCAGGCGGAAUGCCGGGUGUAGCGGUGAAAUGCGUAGAUAUACGGAAGAACACCAGUGGCGAAGGCAGCCUGCUGGACAUUAACUGACGCUGAGGCGCGAAAGCGUGGGGAGCAAACAGGAUUAGAUACCCUAGUAGUC